UACAGAGGGGGCAAGCGUUGUUCGGAAUUACUGGGCGUAAAGGGCGCGUAGGCGGCCUUCUAAGUCGAACGUGAAAUCCCCGGGCUCAACCCGGGAACUGCGUCCGAUACUGGAAGGCUUGAAUCCGGGAGAGGGAUGCGGAAUUCCGGGUGUAGCGGUGGAAUGCGUAGAGAUCCGGAAGAACACCGGUGGCGAAGGCGGCCUGACUGGGCAGUUGCUGACACUGAGGCGCGACAGCGUGGGGAGCAA
rnacentral:rRNA from 1 species